ACUGAGUGGCGGACGGGUAAGUAACGCGUGGGUAACCUGCCUCAUACGGGGGGAUAACAGUUAGAAAUGACUGCUAAUACCGCAUAAGACCACAGCACCGCAUGGUGCAGGGGUAAAAACUCCGGUGGUAUGAGAUGGACCCGCGUCUGAUUAGGUAGUUGGUGGGGUAACGGCCUACCAAGCCGACGAUCAGUAGCCGACCUGAGAGGGUGACCGGCCACAUUGGGACUGAGACACGGCCCAA
rnacentral:rRNA from 1 species